rnacentral:misc_RNA from 1 species
UCCCCGUUACCGGGGCAGUCUGAUUAGAAAAAUACAACUAAUCACAAGGGUUGCGCUCGUUGAUGGACUUAACCAAACAUCUCACGACACGAGCUGACGACGGCCAUGCAUCAUCUGUCACCAAGUUCAAUAAAGCACUCUCGCCUUUCGGCAAAAUUCUUGGGAUGUCAAACCCUGGUAAGGUUCUUCGUUUAGCAUCGAAUUAAAGAACACGAUCCGCUACUUGUGCGGGUCCCCGUCAAUUCCUUUAUGUUUUAGCCUUGCGGCCGUACUCCACAGGCGGGAUACUUAACGCGUUAGCUUCGCUACUGAAGGGGUCGAUACCUCCAACAGCUAGUAUCCAUCGUUUACGGCGUGGACUAC